GCCACAAACCUAGCCCAACAAACACUAAUUUUAUAACAAUAACUAAAACCUUUAAAUAAACCAUUCUAAUAUUUUAGUAAAGGAGAUUGAAAAACCUAUUGGAGCUAUAACAACAGUACCGCAAGGGAAUAAUGAAAUAUUGAUGAAAACUCAAGCAACAAAAAGUAAAGACUACUCCUUGUACCUUUUGCAUCAUGGUUUAACUAGUCAAGUCAAGCAAAAUGUAUUUAAGUUUGAACCCCCGAAACUAAGUGAGCUACUUCAAGGCAGCUAAAAGAGCAAACCCGUCUCUGUAGCAAAAGAGUGGGAUGACCGUCAAGUAGAGGUGACAGACCUAACGAACUUAGUGAUAGCUGGUUACUCAAGAAAUGGAUCUUAGUCCAACCUGAAAUAAAACUAAGUUUACCAAAACAACCCCCGUUCCUUCAGCGUUAUUCAAUUAAGGUACAGCCUACUUGAAACAGGACACAACCUAGACCAAUGGAUAAGAUUAGCCUAAUGAACAAUCAAGUCGGCCUAAAAGCAGCCAUCUUUAAAAAUGCGUCAAAGCUUAGUUAUUCUAACGCCUAAUAAUUAUACUAUUAUCUUAAUCCCCUAUUAAUAUUGAGUAAUUCUAUAUUAUUAUAGAAAAUUUUAUGUUAAAACUAGUAACAAGAAGAAGACCCUUCUCUUAAAUGUUAGUGUAAAUCAGAUAGGACAAACCACUGAUAUUUAACGCCCUUGAACAUAAAGUAAUAACUUAUCAAGAAAAUUCUACUCUAAUUAGCGUUAACCUAACACAAGCACAUUUCAAGAAAGAUUUAAAGAACAAGAAGGAACUCGGCAAAUAUUAACCCCGCCUGUUUACCAAAAACAUCGCCUUUUGAAUUAUAUAAAAGGUCCAGCCUGCCCAGUGACUCUGUUCAACGGCCGCGGUAUCCUAACCGUGCGAAGGUAGCGUAAUCACUUGUUCUUUAAAUAAGGACUAGUAUGAAUGGCACCACGAAGGUUAUACUGUCUCCUUUUUUUGAUCAGUGAAACUAAUCUCCCCGUGAAGAAGCGGGGAUAAGACUAUAAGACGAGAAGACCCUAUGGAGCUUUAAACAACAUAGCACUUACCACACCACACGAUAUUUUCCGAAUACUAAAUAUAACAAGUAAUAUGACUAUAAGUUUUUGGUUGGGGUGACCACGGAGUAUAAUACAACCUCCAUGUUGAACGGAUAUUAUCCUAAGCUUAGAGCCACCUAUCAAAGCAUCAAUAUUUUGACAUCCAUUGACCCAAUAAUUUGAACAACGAACCAAGUUACCCUAGGGAUAACAGCGCAAUCCACUUUAAGAGUCCCUAUCGACAAGUGGGUUUACGACCUCGAUGUUGGAUCAGGGUAUCCAAGUGGUGCAGCCGCUACUA
rnacentral:rRNA from 1 species